CUGUUGAUUACAUUUGCCUCUGAACUUUGGUGCAUUUUAUAAAAUUUUCAGGCCACUCAGGUACUGUAGAGAUAAUGGCCAAGAAUUUGAAUUGAAGCAUUUGGAGUCACACUGAUUUUUGCUUACAUUACCAUUUCAUGAAAAAACAUUUGAGGAUUCUUUUUUUUUUUUUUUCAUUCUUUUACAGGGCAUCUUGGAAAAGUUUUAGGACAUGAAGACAGAAAUAUUCCCAGGCUUACUCUUAGACUCCGACAUGCUUUUAAACAAGCAAACAAACAGAAGAACAAAUUUAUUCCCAAAUUUUACUGCUUUUGAAUCUUUGCUAACUUUUGAUUUGAUUUCCUAGUAGUAAAUGGCUUCAGUAAGGGUUUUUUUUUGGUGUCAGGGAGAUGUAUCAGAACUUUUAGAGAUGGACAGUUUUCAAGAUGGCAUUUUCCUUUUGUACAAACUUUCUCUAAUACCUGUAAAAAUGACAGAAACCUUCAGAAGAUUGUUUGGUUUUGCUCCCUGCAUUUAGAUUUCUGAGUAUGUUUGUAUGAGUCACAGGUUGAUGACCUAAGUCUAACUCCUUGUGAAACAGCUUCCUUAUUACAGAAUCUAUCAUCACAACUGGCACUGACACCAUUUCUUGAAGUGUUAUCUCUGACAUGAUGUUAUCUCUGACAUGAAGGAGCAGACAAGGAACUGAUGCUUCAAAUUUUGUCUAGAUGCAACUGCUUGAGAUGAAAAACUUUGGAAAAUUUUUAACGUAUUCACUCAUUAACAUAGAAAAAUAUUUUCUAGCCUAAACUUAAAAUAAUUAUGAACUUUGCCAAAUCAAUGUCAAACAAGUUUGACAAAGAGGGGCUGCUGUAUCUGCUGUCUAUUGAAAAUUUGUCUCCAUAUUUGCCCAAGUUCAUGCAGCUAAAUAAAAACUUUUUAUUUUUCAGCA